GGAGAUUUAGCUUAGCGGCAUAAGCGCCUGCCUUGCAAGCAGGCAGUUGUAGGUUUGAUUCCUGGUACCG
rnacentral:tRNA from 1 species